CAUGGGUUAAAGGGUUUCCUGCCCGUAACUGAGAAAGCUUAGACUUCGGUCUUUGCAAUUGCUUGGGUGUCGAAAGGCGCCCAAUCUUUAAAACUUUUAUAUUUGUUCUGAAACAAUGAAAAUUUAAAACUUUCAACAACGGAUCUCUUGGUUCUCGUAUCGAUGAAGAACGCAGCAAAGCGCGAUAGGUAAUGCGAAUUGCAGACGUGAGUCAUUGAAUUUUUGAACGCAUAUUGCGCUAUUAGUUUGUCUAAUAGCAUGCUUGUUGGAGUGAUAAUCUUCCUCUCAACCAUUUUUGGUAUGAGGUCUUGCUCCUUUUAGGAGUUAAAAUCAUGGAAGUGCACACGUUAAUUAACUCUGUGCAGUUAUACACUUUUCAUCCUCCAAUCAAGCAAGGUUACCCGCUGAACUUAAGCAUAUCAAUAAGCGGAGGAA
rnacentral:rRNA from 1 species